rnacentral:lncRNA from 1 species
UUUUGUAGAAGACCUCAAGUGUUUGAGGCUAUUUUAUGCAGGCGAGAUAAGGGCCGGAGUAUGAUAUGUGAAUGAUCAUGUCGCCUUGCAUGUAGUAUCUUGUGGCUUUUCGCUGGACCUUCCUAGCUUCAGACUUCCAUUCACCAAGUACUCGAUGAUGGGGUCUUGCCAGCUGAGGUCUUCAUCGAUCUGUAUUGAGUCGAUUGGCUCUAUUUCUUCUAUGCUUAGC